UCCUACGGGAGGCAGCAGUAGGGAAUCUUCCGCAAUGGACGAAAGUCUGACGGAGCAACGCCGCGUGAGUGAUGAAGGCUUUCGGGUCGUAAAACUCUGUUGUUAGGGAAGAACAAGUGCUAGUUGAAUAAGCUGGCACCUUGACGGUACCUAACCAGAAAGCCACGGCUAACUACGUGCCAGCAGCCGCGGUAAUACGUAGGUGGCAAGCGUUAUCCGGAAUUAUUGGGCGUAAAGCGCGCGCAGGUGGUUUCUUAAGUCUGAUGUGAAAGCCCACGGCUCAACCGUGGAGGGUCAUUGGAAACUGGGAGACUUGAGUGCAGAAGAGGAAAGUGGAAUUCCAUGUGUAGCGGUGAAAUGCGUAGAGAUAUGGAGGAAUACCAGUGGCGAAGGCGGCCCCCUGGACAAAGACUGACGCUCAGAUGCGAAAGCGUGGGGAGCAAACAGGAUUAGAUACCCUGGUAGUCCACGCCGUAAACGAUGAGUGCUAAGUGUUAGAGGGUUUCCGCCCUUUAGUGCUGAAGUUAACGCAUUAAGCACUCCGCCUGGGGAGUACGGCCGCAAGGCUGAAACUCAAAGGAAUUGACGGA
rnacentral:rRNA from 1 species